AUGAGGUUUUCUAUCAGUGUAUGCAUAUUGGAGCAAAGUCUCUCAGAGGAUAAUCUCUUUGUUUUUGUUCUAAUAUUCAAAUACUUCAAAGUUCCAACAUUGUAUCAGAGGUUUCAGGCAGUCAACCUUCUAUUGGUGGCAAUGCUACUCUUCUCAUCAUUUAAGGCAUACACUACUUUUAAAUUUGCAGAUGCAUGUCUUCCGACAUUGAAAGGAGAGGUCGGAAUCAUUCAUGUGCAUAUGUUGAUUCACAGGUGA
rnacentral:lncRNA from 1 species